CUCAAUGAUCUUCUAAACAAUCGCUGAUUUCCUUGCUAUGGUGCUAAACAUUUGGCUUUUAAUUGAAGGCUACAAUGAAAGAUUCCACAUGUUAUUUUCUAUAUUAAUAUAUUUCUACGAGUACAAAAAUUCUCCUAAAAAAGAGGGACGAAAAAACUCUGUCGGACUUUUUUUCAAGGUAGGCUGGAGUGGCAAAAAACAAUUUCUUUUAUAACAGCUUUUAAACAACACAAUCUAGGAUAAAUUAUGUUGCCGCAGGGAUAACUGCAUCAUUUGUUUCUAAAGAUCUUAUGUACGAAACAGAUUGCGACCUCGAUGCUGAAUUAAUAUUUUGUUAGGAGCAAGAUCUUAAUAAGUCUGUUCGACU
rnacentral:rRNA from 1 species